UUCAGUUCAACAUCAUGGACUGCAGGACAACACUGCUGCUCUUAACUGUCUACUGGAGAGGUGUUGGUGGUCAGACGCUGACAGAAUCUGAACCAGUGGCUAAAAGACCUGGAGAAUCCCACACCCUGACCUGUACAGCCUCUGGAUUCACACUUAGCAGCUAUGCAAUGAGCUGGAUCAGACAGGCCCCUGGAAAGGGACUAGAAUGGAUCGCCUAUAUAGGCACCUCCAGUUAUCCAAUAUAUUACUCCCAGUCACUCCAGGGAAGAUUCACCAUCCGCAGAGAUGACUCCAACAGUAAAAUCUAUCUGGAGAUGAACCGGCUGAAAACGGAUGACACUGCUGUGUAUUACUGUGCUCGAAGAGGCACAGUGGCAGAAGGAAGCAGGAGGCUCACACAAAAACUUAAUUUGCCACUUCCUCUGGAAACGUUGUGCUCAACCUGUUACUGGUAA